UACGAAGGGUGCAAGCGUUAAUCGGAAUUACUGGGCGUAAAGCGUGCGUAGGCGGUUCGUUAAGUCUGCUGUGAAAGCCCCGGGCUCAACCUGGGAAUGGCAGUGGAUACUGGCGAGCUAGAGUGUGAUAGAGGAUGGUGGAAUUCCCGGUGUAGCGGUGAAAUGCGUAGAGAUCGGGAGGAACAUCAGUGGCGAAGGCGGCCAUCUGGAUCAACACUGACGCUGAGGCACGAAAGCGUGGGGAGCAAACAGG
rnacentral:rRNA from 1 species